ACGGUACCUGACUAAGAAGCCCCGGCUAAAUACGUGCCAGCAGCCGCGAUAAUACGUAGGUGGCAAGCGUUAUCCGGAUUUACUGGGUGUAAAGGGAGUGCAGCCGGGAGUUCAAGUCUGAUGUGAAAUCCCGCGGCUCAACCGCGGAACUGCAUUGGAAACUGUCGUUCUGGAGUGCCGGAGAGGCAGACGGAAUUCCUAGUGUAGCGGUGAAAUGCGUAGAUAUUAGGAGGAACACCAGUGGCGAAGGCGGUCUGCUGGACAGUGACUGACGGUGAGGCUCGAAAGCGUGGGGAGCAAACAGGAUUAGAUACCCUGGUAGUCCACGCCGUAAACGAUGGAUUACUAGGGUGGUGCGGGGGGCGGCCCCCGCCGUUCCGCCAAGUUAACACCAGUAAUUUUUCAGCUUGGGAGGUAGGUUGGCAGGUAUGAAAUUAAAAGAAUUGGAGGGGGCCCGCCCCAGCCGGUGGAGCUGGGGUUUUAUUUGGAACCAACGGGAGGACCUUUACCAGCCCUGGCCUUCCCGGUGACGGAGCAUGUAGGGUCCUUUCCUUUCGGGGCAGGGGAGACAGGUGGUGCAUGGUUGUCGUCAGCUCGUGUCGUGAGAUGUUGGGUUAAGUCCCGCAACGAGCGCAACCCCUGUCCCCAGUAGCCAGCAGGUGGAGGUGGGCACUCUGGGGGGACUGCCGGGGACAACCCGGAGGAAGGCGGGGAUGACGUCAAAUCAUCAUGCCCCUUAUGGCCUGGGCUACACACGUGCUACAAUGGCGCAGACAGAGGGAGGCGAAGCGGCGAGGCGGAGCAAACCCCAGAAAUGGCGCCCCAGUUCGGAUUGCAGUCUGCAACCCGGCUGCAUGAAGCCGGAAUCGCUAGUAAUCGCGGAUCAGAACGCUGCGGUGGAUACGUUCCCGGGUCUUGCACUCACCGCCCGUCA
rnacentral:rRNA from 1 species